rnacentral:rRNA from 1 species
AACGAACGUUAGCGGCGCGCUUAACACAUGCAAGUCGAACGAGAAAGGGCUUCGGCCCCGGUACAGUGGCGCACGGGUGAGUAACACGUAGGUAAUCUUCCCUCGAGUGGGGGAUAACUCCUCGAAAGGGGGGCUAAUACCGCAUGAGACCACGUUCCCGCGAGGGGAUGAGGUCAAAGCGGGCCUCUGAAUUCAAGCUCGCGCUUGAGGAUGAGCCUGCGGCCCAUCAGCUAGUUGGCAGGGUAAAGGCCUACCAAGGCGAAGACGGGUAGCUGGUCUGAGAGGAUGAUCAGCCACACUGGAACUGAGACACGGUCCAGACUCCUACGGGAGGCAGCAGUGAGGAAUCUUGCGCAAUGGGGGAAACCCUGACGCAGCAACGCCGCGUGAGUGAGGAAGGCCUUCGGGUCGUAAAGCUCUGUCAGAUGGGAAGAAAUGGAUGGGGGCUAAGUAUCGCCCAUCCUUGACGGUACCAUCAGAGGAAGCACCGGCUAACUCCGUCG